UACGGGGGGGGCAAGCGUUGUUCGGAAUUACUGGGCGUAAAGGGCUCGUAGGUGGCCAACUAAGUCAUACGUGAAAUCCCUCGGCUUAACCGGGGAACUGCGUCUGAUACUGGAUGGCUUGAGGUUGGGAGAGGGAUGCGGAAUUCCAGGUGUAGCGGUGAAAUGCGUAGAUAUUCGGAAGAACACCAGUGGCGAAGGCGACUUACUGGACGACUGUUGACGCUGAGGUGCGAAAGCGUGGGGAGCAAACAGG
rnacentral:rRNA from 1 species